UACGGAGGAUGCAAGCGUUAUCCGGAAUGAUUGGGCGUAAAGCGUCCGCAGGUGGCUGUGUAAGUCUGCUGUUAAAGAGUGAGGCUCAACCUCAUAAAAGCAGUGGAAACUACACAGCUAGAGUGCGUUCGGGGCAGAGGGAAUUCCUGGUGUAGCGGUGAAAUGCGUAGAGAUCAGGAAGAACACCGGUGGCGAAGGCGCUCUGCUAGGCCGCAACUGACACUGAGGGACGACAGCUAGGGGAGCGAAUGGG
rnacentral:rRNA from 1 species